UACGAAGGGGGCUAGCGUUGCUCGGAAUUACUGGGCGUAAAGGGAGCGUAGGCGGAUCGUUUAGUUGGGGGUGAAAUCCCGGGGCUCAACCUCGGAACUGCCUUCAAUACUGGCGAUCUUGAGUAUGGGAGAGGUGAGUGGAACUCCGAGUGUAGAGGUGAAAUUCGUAGAUAUUCGGAAGAACACCAGUGGCGAAGGCGACUCACUGGCCCAUUACUGACGCUGAGGCUCGAAAGCGUGGGGAGCAAACAGG
rnacentral:rRNA from 1 species